rnacentral:rRNA from 1 species
ACGAACGCUGGCGGCGUGCCUAACACAUGCAAGUCGAACGCGAAAGUCCUUCGGGGCGAGUAGAGUGGCGCACGGGUGAGUAAUGAAUAGGAACGUACCUUUUGGUGGGGAAUAACUUCGGGAAACCGGAGCUAAUACCGCAUAAGAACGAAAGUUGAAAGAGGGCCUCUACUUGUAAGCUCUCGCCGAAAGAUCGGCCUAUUUUCCAUUAGCUUGUUGGUGGGGUAAAGGCCUACCAAGGCGACGAUGGAUAGCUGGUCUGAGAGGAUGAUCAGCCACACUGGAACUGAGACACGGUCCAGACUCCUACGGGAGGCAGCAGUGGGGAAUCUUGCACAAUGGGCGAAAGCCUGAUGCAGCAACGCCGCGUGAGUGAAGAAGGCUCUUGGGUCGUAAGGCUCUUUCGGCUAGGAAGAAGGGUUUCUGGGUUAACACCCCAGAGAUUUGACGGUACUAGAAGAAGAAGCACUGGCUAAUUCCGUGCCAGCAGCCGCGGUAAU